rnacentral:rRNA from 1 species
AUACGGAGGGGGUUAGCGUUGUUCGGAAUUACUGGGCGUAAAGCGUACGUAGGCGGACUAGUAAGUGAGGGGUGAAAUCCCAGGGCUCAACCCUGGAACUGCCUUUCAUACUGCUAGUCUUGAGGUCGAGAGAGGUGAGUGGAAUUCCGAGUGUAGAGGUGAAAUUCGCAGAUAUUCGGAGGAACACCAGUGGCGAAGGCGGCUCACUGGCUCGAUACUGACGCUGAGGUACGAAAGUGUGGGGAGCAAACAGGAUUAGAAACCCUAGUAGUCC